rnacentral:rRNA from 1 species
GAUGAACGCUGGCGGCGUGCCUAAUACAUGCAAGUCGAGCGAACGGACGAGAAGCUUGCUUCUCUGAUGUUAGCGGCGGACGGGUGAGUAACACGUGGAUAACCUACCUAUAAGACUGGGAUAACUUCGGGAAACCGGAGCUAAUACCGGAUAAUAUUUUGAACCGCAUGGUUCAAAAGUGAAAGACGGUCUUGCUGUCACUUAUAGAUGGAUCCGCGCUGCAUUAGCUAGUUGGUAAGGUAACGGCUUACCAAGGCAACGAUGCAUAGCCGACCUGAGAGGGUGAUCGGCCACACUGGAACUGAGACACGGUCCAGACUCCUACGGGAGGCAGCAGUAGGGAAUCUUCCGCAAUGGGCGAAAGCCUGACGGAGCAACGCCGCGUGAGUGAUGAAGGUCUUCGGAUCGUAAAACUCUGUUAUUAGGGAAGAACAUAUGUGUAAGUAACUGUGCACAUCUUGACGGUACCUAAUCAGAAAGCCACGGCUAACUACGUGCCAGCAGCCGCGGUAAUACGUAGGUGGCAAGCGUUAUCCGGAAUAUUGGGCGUAAAGCGCGCGUAGGCGGUUUUUUAAGUCUGAUGUGAAAGCCCACGGCUCAACCGUGGAGGGUCAUUGGAAACUGGAAAACUUGAGUGCAGAAGAGGAAAGUGGAAUUCCAUGUGUAGCGGUGAAAUGCGCAGAGAUAUGGAGGAACACCAGUGGCGAAGGCGACUUUCUGGUCUGUAACUGACGCUGAUGUGCGAAAGCGUGGGGAUCAAACAGGAUUAGAUACCCUGGUAGUCCACGCCGUAAACGAUGAGUGCUAAGUGUUAGGGGGUUUCCGCCCCUUAGUGCUGCAGCUAACGCAUUAAGCACUCCGCCUGGGGAGUACGACCGCAAGGUUGAAACUCAAAGGAAUUGACGGGGACCCGCACAAGCGGUGGAGCAUGUGGUUUAAUUCGAAGCAACGCGAAGAACCUUACCAAAUCUUGACAUCCUUUGACAACUCUAGAGAUAGAGCCUUCCCCUUCGGGGGACAAAGUGACAGGUGGUGCAUGGUUGUCGUCAGCUCGUGUCGUGAGAUGUUGGGUUAAGUCCCGCAACGAGCGCAACCCUUAAGCUUAGUUGCCAUCAUUAAGUUGGGCACUCUAAGUUGACUGCCGGUGACAAACCGGAGGAAGGUGGGGAUGACGUCAAAUCAUCAUGCCCCUUAUGAUUUGGGCUACACACGUGCUACAAUGGACAAUACAAAGGGCAGCGAAACCGCGAGGUCAAGCAAAUCCCAUAAAGUUGUUCUCAGUUCGGAUUGUAGUCUGCAACUCGACUACAUGAAGCUGGAAUCGCUAGUAAUCGUAGAUCAGCAUGCUACGGUGAAUACGUUCCCGGGUCU